CCCUAAAUUCAACAAACCACAUUAAUACCCCCUAAUGAGCUAAUCCAAAAAAGCAAACCAUUUUACCACCUGAGUAUGGGAGACAGAAAAGGACAGCAGGAGCAAUAGAAUAAGUACCGCAAGGGAAAGCUGAAAGAGAGAUGAAAAAGCCCAGUAAAGGUUAUAAAAGCAGAGACUAGUCCUCGUACCUUUUGCAUCAUGAUUUAGCGAGUAUCUGUAAGCAAAGAGCCCUUUAUGUUUACACCCCCGAAACUAAGCGAGCUACUCCAAGACAGCCUAUUUUAGGGCAAACCCGUCUCUGUGGCAAAAGAGUGGGAAGAGCUUCGAGUAGAGGUGACAGACCUACCGAGCCUAGUUAUAGCUGGUUUCCUGAGACUUGAAUAGAAGUUCAGCCUUUUAGUGUCUUUCCCCAACAAAGGCCCCGCCAAACCUCCGGACAAAAGAGAACUAAAAGAGUUAUUCAAGAGGGGGACAGCCCUCUUGAAGAAAGAUACAACUUUGCAAGAAGGUAAAAGAUCAGAAGACUUAAAGGAACAUACCUAGGUGGGCCUAAAAGCAGCCACCCUUGCAGAAAGCGUUAAAGCUCAAGUAUGUACACCCUACGAUCCCGACAAGAUAUUCUUUUACCCCUUAACCUAUCAGGCCUACCUAUGCCCCCAUAGGUACGACAAUGCUAAAAUGAGUAAUAAGAGAGCCAGACUCUCUCAAUCACACCCGUGUAAAUCAGAACGAACACCCACUGAAAAUUAACGCCCCCACAACCAGAGGGCCUUGGGCUAAACCACACAAAACAGGAAAAUCCCCCAGACAAGCAGCGUUAACCCCACACAGGAGUGCUUAAAGAAAGACAGAAAGAAAAAGAAGGAACUCGGCAAACAAUGGCCUCGCCUGUUUACCAAAAACAUCGCCUCUUGCUAUUUCAGUAUAAGAGGUCCCGCCUGCCCUGUGACUUAUAGUUUAACGGCCGCGGUAUUUUGACCGUGCGAAGGUAGCGUAAUCACUUGUCUUUUAAAUAAAGACCUGUAUGAAUGGCACAACGAGGGCUAAGCUGUCUCCUUUUUCUAGUCAAUGAAAUUGAUCUGCCCGUGCAGAAGCGGGCAUACUAACAUAAGACGAGAAGACCCUAUGGAGCUUAAGGCACCAGGACAGCCCACGUUAAAAAGCCUAUAUUAAUAGACAUAAACCAAAUGGCCCCUGUUCCCCUGCCUUUGGUUGGGGCGACCGCGGAGCAACAAAAAACCUCCACGUGGAAUGGGCUAACCCCCUAAUGCAAGAGCCACAGCUCUAACAACCAGAACAUCUGACCACCAAGAUCCGGCAGAGCCGAUCAACGGACCCAGUUACCCUAGGGAUAACAGCGCAAUCCCCUUUUAGAGCCCAUAUCGACAAGGGGGUUUACGACCUCGAUGUUGGAUCAGGACCUCCUAAUGGUGCAGCCGCUAUUAAGGGUUCGUUUGUUCAACGAUUAAAGUCCUACGUGAUCUGAGUUCAGACCGGAGAAAUCCAGGUCAGUUUCUAUCUAUGACACGCCUCUUUCCUAGUACGAAAGGACCGGAAAGAGGGGGCCCCUGCUCUCAGUAUGCCCCACCCCCACCUAAUGAUCCCCACUAAACGAGGCAAGGGGGGCCUCACCACCAGCCUGAGAAAAAGGCAA
rnacentral:rRNA from 1 species